AUUGAACGCUGGCGGCAGGCCUAACACAUGCAAGUCGAGCGGUAACACAGGGAGCUUGCUCCCGGGUGACGAGCGGCGGACGGGUGAGUAAUGUCUGGGAAACUGCCUGAUGGAGGGGGAUAACUACUGGAAACGGUAGCUAAUACCGCAUAACGUCGCAAGACCAAAGAGGGGGACCUUCGGGCCUCUUGCCAUCAGAUGUGCCCAGAUGGGAUUAGCUAGUAGGUGGGGUAACGGCUCACCUAGGCGACGAUCCCUAGCUGGUCUGAGAGGAUGACCCGCCACACUGGAACUGAGACACGGUCCAGACUCCUACGGGAGGCAGCAGUGGGGAAUAUUGCACAAUGGGCGCAAGCCUGAUGCAGCCAUGCCGCGUGUAUGAAGAAGGCCUUCGGGUUGUAAAGCACUUUCAGCGGGGAGGAAGGUGUUGAGGUUAAUAACCUCAGCAAUUGACGUUACCCGCAGAAGAAGCACCGGCUAACUCCGUGCCAGCAGCCGCGGUAACAC
rnacentral:rRNA from 1 species